UUCUCUCUUCUCCUUUUAUCUCCUCCUCCCGAUCCCCAAAUCUGGCCGAGCUCCUCUUCGUCGUUGCCGCCACCUACUCCGGAGCCAUCGCUUCUUCUCGUGCCCUAGCCAUCACUGCCGCCCGAACCCCCUUCCUCUUCUCGUCUCCUUUGCGAGCGAUCUCCGCCCAAUCCACGCCGUCACCCUCUUCUUUCCCCCUCCGUGUGGGCUCUGCCCAACACCCUGACGCCGCCUAGUGCCGCGUUGCCCGACGGACAUUGGCUGAUCCGUGGCCUAGCCUCCGUCUCGUGUCUCUACCCGAUGCCGCCGCACCUACUCGAGUGAGGGCGACCCGAUGAUGUCGCCGCCGUCGUGAGAUGUCAUUGGCCAUUGCCUAGCUGCCGUUCUUUCCCUGACAUGUGCGACAUGCACUUGUGCUGGUCCUCUUCCCUUGCUUUCCUGUUGUUACACCACAUUUUCACCGUGAACUAUCGCCAGGAAGCCGCAUGGUAGCAGAUAGAUGAGUCAUGGAUGCUUGGAGAGAUGCUGCCUGCCAGUCUUGUGUCAUAUCCGAGGAAUGAUUUUAGUUUUGUUUCUCUUUACUUGCAUUUCAUAUUCGUUGGAUUUGGUGCUGUGAGAACUAACUAUAAUUUGAUACUUGUUUUGUGGACUUUAUAUCUGUGAUGUUUUGUGGACUU